rnacentral:rRNA from 1 species
CGCGUGGGAAACCUGCCUUUGAGCGGGGGAUAACAUCCCUAACGGGGUGCUAAUACCGCAUGAAUCGGAGAGUCGCAUGGCUCUUCGUGAAAGAUGGCCUCUCCUUGGAAGCUGUCACUCAAAGAUGGUCCCGCGUCCCACUAGCUUGUUGGUGGGGUAAUGGCCUACCAAGGCGACGAUGGGUAGCCGGCCUGAGAGGGUGUCCGGCCACACUGGGACUGAGAUACGGCCCAG